AUGAUCCAUGUAUUAAAAUACAGGUUACUGGUCCCAGCCUCAGAAAUUCUCCUUCAGUAGGUUGUUAGUGGGGCCCAGGAAUCUGCAUUUUUAAACAAGUUGCCCC
rnacentral:miRNA from 1 species